GGGGGGGGGUUAUAAUAUGUGAGUUAAAUUUGCUGCAGGCAGUCCACAUCUUGGAAGAAAAUAACAACCUAAACUGCCUGUGGCAGUUCUGACAUGUAUGACCUGUGUUUAUUCAGCAGGUCUCUUAGUUCUCACUGAUCUUAGCAGUGAUCUGGUCUGAGUGCUUACAGGGUCAGAUUUCGAAUGCAUUAGUUGUUCUAUAACACUACUACAUGAUAUGCAAAGCCUUUUUUUUUUUUUUUUUUUUUUCUAUAGGAAACAAAUUUUCUGUUUGCAGUCAGUGCUGGGCUGAUGUAAAUCUGGUUCCAUUAAUUACAAAACCCACGUAUUUGGCUCGUAAUAUUCUCCAGAGGAGAAAACUAUAACCAUGGAUGUUAAAUACAUUUUUACUCAUAUUUGACUUCACUAAAUACCUUUUUAUAACAGUGAGACAAUUCUAUAUUUCCUUUUAAUUUUUGAAUGCAUUGAAGUUGCUCCUUGGGCAGAUUUCUGUGUUACCCACUGACUGGGACUGUUCCCUUACAGUCAGCAUCAAACUCUGAAAACAGGGAGACUGACUCCUUGGCAUGACACAAAAUGCUAGAGCAUGUGAUGCCUCAGGAGAAUGUCAUGAUCUAAUCUAUGUGUGUAUGUGUGUCUCUCUCCCCCUCUCCACCUUCUCCGUCCCUAAAAGCUCCCUCUUUGCUUCUACUGUGAAGCUUACAGCAUAUUAGGAGACGGUCAGAGAUGAAUGGCUGCAGCUUCAGCAGGGGGUGUACAGUCUGUGCAGAGAAUGUGGCAGGCAGCCAGGCUGGGGCUGCUUCUUUCUUCUCUGUGUGCACAAGGGACCCCAAGAUUGCCAGAUGAAGUCGCUCAGGACUUUCCAUCGGGAGCUCAGGUGGACAAGUGUGGGAUGUGGGAGGACUUCCAUCAGGGGUCUCGGUGAGGGCAGGGGAAGAGGUGUUUGGAUCAAAGAGGACAGAGCACCUGCAGCAGCCAGAAUGUUGGGGGGGGGGGGGGGGGGGGAGAGCCUCUGGUAUUGUGUAGAAGGGUAAAGCACUGAGGAGGAAAGGGAAGCUGGGGCUGGAAGAAGGAGAAGAGCUAGGUGAGGCCAGUUGCACUAAGUUGAUAUAGUAUGAAUGUAUAAAGAAGGAGUGAGCAAGGAAGAUCCAGGAUCCUAUCCAGUAGAAGUCAGCACUGCAGAAGGGUGAAUGCAACAUACGUUAGGUAUAGCUGAGCUAGCUUGUGCAGUGGCAACGGUGAAAAUGCAGCUGUAGAGAUUUCCAUGGGAGCUGUACUAACUUGACAGGGUCCUGAAAAUUUCCUUGGACAGGUAACCUGCACUGUAACACAUGCCCUGACUCCAGCUGGUGUCUGAGCAAGUGAGAUUAAAACUAGUUUACAUAUCAGUUUAUGAGGUACAGAGAUAUCUCUGAGUGAAGAACAGAGAUACCCUGAGGAUUAUCAUGUAAUAAAUUUCCUGUUUUGACUUGUGCUGCUUCAUAAUAUGGUCCAAAAAUAGGGAAUCCACUUACCUGCCCCUACAUAAUUUUUGCACAUAUCUGAACCAGAAAUUUGUGAAUAGUAAUGUGGAACUUUUAACUUUCACAGGGAUAGAAUCCCACAUAACUGCUGAUACUCUUCUGCCACGUCACCUUUGUGAUGUGGAGGAAAAGAUGCAUAGUUACGUUAUUCAGAACAGGGCCCUUCAACUAUCACUGAACAUAAAUGCUAUACAAAAAUAGUGUUUGCAGGAUGAAUAAUGUGCACUUGUUUAUGUUUUAUGUCUUGUAACAGAUGCCUGGGAUAAGUCAUAAGUUCCUAAAUAUUUAUAUUAAUUAACGUGGGACUUUACGUAAUAAAACAAAGAUCCUGUACCUCUGAAUGACCAAAUAGGAAUACCGGUAUUUUAUCUAAUAAGGUGUUCAGCAUCUUUUCAGCCAAAGGCUUCAAAAAUGACCUUAAUGCUUUUUCUCUUUUUCUGCUCUUUUUGCAUAAGGGAGUAAAGAUUACCAAAGAAGGCUUUGCUUUUAUUAUCUGAAAAGAAAACCAUCGACCUGACUUAUUUUUUCUAAGUUAAUUUGUACUGCACUGCAUUCACACAUUGCAAUUUUAAACGAGGAAAAAGUAUUUUACUUUGGUCCUUCAGUGGUCAGUACUUUGGGUGAAAUGUUUCCUUAAAGACAUAUUUAUGUUUAAUAAUGUGAACAUCCACAGCACUGAACACACUCAUUAGUGUCUAAUGCUGGGUAUGCUGAUGUUUAUUUGUAAUACUUGUCUCCAGGUAGCAGAUAUUAAGUUGUUUAGCAUUUACAAACAUCCGAAUUUGAAACUGAGUGAUUUCUUGUCUGCGGUGAUCAUAGAAGUCUAGGUUUUAUAAUAUAUUUACAUGUUGACUUGAUGCCACAAGUGCCCUUGCUUUUAGAUACAUAUUUUUCUGAAGUUCUUAGUUCAGAUCAGAAUGCAGCAUGGUUUAUGAGGUGUGAGUAACUGUACCUUGCAUGGAUUACCUGUGCCAACAUGGAUAAAACAGUCUAGUAAUAAAAUGAAUGUACAAAUACAUUUAAAGCUUUACGAUUCGGACAUAUUUGUUAAUAUGGCAUGUGAACAGCUGACAGCAUACACAAGCUUGUAUUCUCUACUUCGAACCUGAAAAUAAAAUUAAAAGCAUUGGUUUCAACCUCACUGCGUAUCAGUCUUGAAUGUUUCAUUAACUGAAUUGUGCUGUUUU
rnacentral:lncRNA from 1 species